rnacentral:rRNA from 1 species
UACGUAGGCGCCAAGCGUUAUCCGGAUUCACUGGGCGUAAAGCGUCCGCAGGUGGAUUUGUAAGUCUGAUAUUAAAGAUCCCGGCUUAACCGGGAGAAGGUACCAGAAACUGCAAGUCUAGAGGCCGGUAGGGGCUGUCGGAACUUAUCGAGUAGGGGUAAUAUCCGUUGAUACGAUAAGGAACACCAAAGGCGAAGGCAGACAGCUAGGCCGGCCCUGACACUCAUGGACGAAAGCG